AUUGAACGCUGGCGGCAGGCCUAACACAUGCAAGUCGAACGAGUGGCGGACGGGUGUGUAAUGCUUGGGAAUCUAGCUUAUGGAGGGGGAUAACUUCGGGAAACUGUAGCUAAUACCCCGUACCAUAGGAUGAGUCCAAGUGGGAUUAGGUAGUUGGUGAGGUAAAGGCUCACCAAGCCGACGAUCUCUAGCUGGUCUGAGCGGGUGACCAGCCACACGGGGACUGGGGCACGGCCCAGACUCCUAGGGGAGGCAGCAGUGGGGAAUAUUGCGCAAUGGGGGCAGCCUGACGCAGACAUACCGCGUGAAGGAAGAAGGCCUUCGGGUUGAAAAGUUCUUUCGGUAGCGAGGCGUUAACUACAGAAGAAGCACCGGCUAACUCCGUGCCAGCAGCCGCGGUAAUUC
rnacentral:rRNA from 1 species